UAAACAUUUAACAAAAUUGUAAUUAAAAUGCUUACAAUUAAAAAUAAUUUCGAAUUACAGCUCUUAAUUUUGUUACCGCAUGUAGCCGAGCCGGCAUUAUCUGCAUGAUGUUCUUGAAAGCGGAAGUAGAUAGUGUUUGUGCAUGUCCGGAUUACUCCCACGUGUAAACGAAUGCAACCCUAACUGUUUUGACGGUUGUUUUAGAUGUGUAUUCCACUCGUCUACUCCUGCAGAACCAAGACUCUAACAACAGCCAGUGAUGAUGUCUGUUAUUUUGUUUAGCUUCAGAUUAAUUCUUAUCCAGUGGACAGUGGACAAAGACAUUUCAACUAUCCCCAUAUUUCUUGUGGCUUCCAGUCCUCCAUGUCAGCUACAUUUCUCUCAACUACAACUGUAACCUUUAUGCUCUCCACUGCCAUUGACAGUUCAGCAAUACUUCAAGCUAAGCUGUUUCUUAAAAAGGAGACACAAAAAAAUCACCAAAUUUAGCCUGGACACCCUGUAGCAGUCACCGCCAGCCAUGUUUUCUACAUAGUUUGGGAUUUAAAAAAACAAACAAUUAUGUUCUUAAAAGACAUACCUUGUGAGGAAUUAGCAGACAUUAUAGGCAAGAACUUGUCAUAUCCAGAAGCCCAAUGUUCAGUGAAGUGACAGUGAUAAUAAAAAAGAAUGUUAUUUAUAUGCACAUUGGCUUUCAUUCAUCACCCUACAUUGGUUGUAUAUUUAAUAUAUACGUCAUUGAAAAUAAAUUGAUGCAAUCAAAUUUUAAAAUAAAUCAUUAUCAUCAUUGUUUUAAUGUUGACUUUUUCAUGCUCACACAGAUGACAUGGAAUUUGAUGAGGCAGACAUUCUAUGGCUGGAUGCCAAAGAAGUGAUGCAUCCCAUGACCAGCCAUGCCUGCAUCUAUGAAUGAACAUGCAAAACAUCAAUACUCUUGACAA